UACAGAGGUCUCAAGCGUUGUUCGGAUUCAUUGGGCGUAAAGGGCGCGUAGGCGGCGUGACAAGUCACUUGUGAAAUCUCCGGGCUUAACCCGGAAAGGUCAAGUGAAACUGUCGUGCUAGAGUACAGAAGGGGCAACUGGAAUUCUCGGUGUAGCGGUGAAAUGCGUAGAUAUCGUGAGGAAGACCGGUGGCGAAGGCGGGUCUCUGGACAGUUCCUGACGCUGAGGCACGAAGGCCAGGGGAGCAAACGGG
rnacentral:rRNA from 1 species